UGGGUUGCAGCUUAAUGGCAUAGCACUUGCCUAGCAUGCACAGGGCCCUGGGUUCAAUCCCCAGCACUACAA
rnacentral:tRNA from 1 species